GUGGGGAAUAUUGGACAAUGGGCGAAAGCCUGAUCCAGCAAUGCCGCGUGAGUGAUGAAGGCCCUAGGGUUGUAAAGCUCUUUUACCAGGGAUGAUAAUGACAGUACCUGGAGAAUAAGCUCCGGCUAACUCCGUGCCAGCAGCCGCGGUAAUACGGAGGGAGCUAGCGUUGUUCGGAAUUACUGGGCGUAAAGCGCGCGUAGGCGGUUUUUAAAGUCAGAGGUGAAAGCCCGGGGCUCAACCCCGGAAUUGCCUUUGAAACUGGAAAACUUGAAUCUUGGAGAGGUCAGUGGAAUUCCGAGUGUAGAGGUGAAAUUCGUAGAUAUUCGGAAGAACACCAGUGGCGAAGGCGACUGACUGGACAAGUAUUGACGCUGAGGUGCGAAAGCGUGGGGAGCAAACAGGAUUAGAAACCCCUGUAGUCC
rnacentral:rRNA from 1 species